UACGGAGGAGGCAAGCGUUAUCCGGGAUUGUUGGGCGUAAAGCGUCCGCAGGUGGCACUUCAAGUCUGUCGUCAAAGACUGGGGCUUAACCCUGGAAAGGCGGUGGAAACUGAAGCGCUAGAGUGCGGUAGGGGUAGAGGGAAUUCCCGGUGUAGCGGUGAAAUGCGUAGAGAUCGGGAAGAACAUCGGUGGCGAAAGCGCUCUACUGGACCGCAACUGACACUCAGGGACGAAAGCUAGGGGAGCGAAUGGG
rnacentral:rRNA from 1 species